rnacentral:rRNA from 1 species
CCUACGGGAGGCAGCAGUGAGGAAUAUUGGUCAAUGGACGAGAGUCUGAACCAGCCAAGUAGCGUGAAGGAUGACUGCCCUAUGGGUUGUAAACUUCUUUUAUAUGGGAAUAAAAUGUUCCACGUGUGGGCUUUUGUAUGUACCAUAUGAAUAAGGCUCGGCUAACUCCGUGCCAGCAGCCGCGGUAAUACGGAGGAUCCGAGCGUUAUCCGGAUUUAUUGGGUUUAAAGGGAGCGUAGGUGGAUUGUUAAGUCAGUUGUGAAAGUUUGCGGCUCAACCGUAAAAUUGCAGUUGAAACUGGCAGUCUUGAGUACAGUAGAGGUGGGCGGAAUUCGUGGUGUAGCGGUGAAAUGCUUAGAUAUCACGAAGAACUCCGAUUGCGAAGGCAGCUCACUGGACUGCAACUGACACUGAGGCUCGAAAGUGUGGGUAUCAAACAGGAUUAGAUACCCGAGUAGUC